rnacentral:rRNA from 1 species
CAGCAGCCACGGUAAUACGUAGGUGGCAAGCGUUGUCCGGAAUUAUUGGGCGUAAAGGGCUCGCAGGCGGUUUCUUAAGUCUGAUGUGAAAGCCCCCGGCUCAACCGGGGAGGGUCAUUGGAAACUGGGAAACUUGAGUGCAGAAGAGGAGAGUGGAAUUCCACGUGUAGCGGUGAAAUGCGUAGAGAUGUGGAGGAACACCAGUGGCGAAGGCGACUCUCUGGUCUGUAACUGACGCUGAGGAGCGAAAGCGUGGGGAGCGAACAGGAUUAGAUACCCGUGUAGUCCCUGUCUCUUAUAC